UACGUAGGGCGCAAGCGUUGUCCGGAAUUAUUGGGCGUAAAGAGCUCGUAGGCGGUUUGUCGCGUCUGCUGUGAAAACCUAAGGCUCAACCUUGGGCUUGCAGUGGGUACGGGCAGACUAGAGUGCGGUAGGGGUGACUGGAAUUCCUGGUGUAGCGGUGGAAUGCGCAGAUAUCAGGAGGAACACCGAUGGCGAAGGCAGGUCACUGGGCCGCAACUGACGCUGGAGGAAGCGAAAAGCAUGGGAGCGAACAGG
rnacentral:rRNA from 1 species